CUAAUCCUCGUGAUGGAUGGUUUCCGGACGGCAGAGAUGUUGUCCGGAGAGCAAAAGGGAAUGCGAAGGCGUGGACCCCAACCGGGCACGCGGAACGCAGCCGACCCCGCGACUGUAUUGCAGCGAGGGUUAUCCAUCCGCUCUGCCGGGAUUGGUGGCGACGGGUCGCAGGGUGCGACCGGCCUCUGAAGAACGGCAGGACGGAAAAGCCACUGGGGUGGCAACACGAUCAGCCGGGGCAGGACGCCUCUUUUUCUACGAAUCGUCCGCUCUUUCGUGUUGCUGACAAACCCUGGGAAGGCGAGGAGAACCCGACGGUCUUUCGAGGACCACGACCUGCGAGCCAGGAGACCUGCCAUCCACGGGCAUGGUGC
rnacentral:ncRNA from 2 species